rnacentral:rRNA from 1 species
UGACGCAGCGACGCCGCGUGGGCGACGAAGGCCUUCGGGUCGUAAAGCCCUUUUAGCAGGGACGAGUGAGGACGGUACCUGCUGAAUAAGUCUCGGCUAACUACGUGCCAGCAGCCGCGGUAAAACGUAGGAGGCGAGCGUUAUCCGGAUUCACUGGGCGUAAAGCGCGCGUAGGCGGUUGGUUAAGUCGGACGUGAAAGCCCCUGGCUCAACUGGGGGAGGCCGUUCGAUACUGGCCGGCUUGAGGGUGAGAGAGGGAAGUGGAAUUCCCGGUGUAGCGGUGGAAUGCGUAGAGAUCGGGAGGAACACCAGUGGCGAAGGCGGCUUCCUGGCUCACUUCUGACGCUGAGAGCGCGAAAGCGUGGGGAGCAAACGGGAUUAGAUACCCCGGUAGUCCACGCUCUAAACGAUGAGGGCUAGGUGUUGGUGGGAUUACCCAUCUGUGCCGAAGCAAACGCGUUAAGCCCUCCGCCUGGGGACUACGAACGCAAGUUUA